rnacentral:rRNA from 1 species
GACAGCUAGGGGAGCGAAAGGGAUUAGAGACCCCUGUAGUCCUAGCCGUAAACUUUGCUCGCUAGGGAUGGGGCCGUAAGGCUUCGUCCCGUAAGCUAACGCGUUAAGCGAGCCGCCUGGGGAGUACGGCCGCAAGGCUAAAACUCAAAGGAAUUGACGGGGACCCGCACAACCAGUGGAGCAUGUGGUUUAAUUCGAGACAAAACGAAAGACCUCACCCAGCCUUGACAUAAUACCGUUUUAAGCACCUAGAAAUAGGAGCCUAUCUUUAGAAAUAUUGAUGGUACUACAGGUGUUGCAUGGCCGUCGUCAGCUCGUGCCGUAGGGUGUUCCCUUCAGUGGGGUAACGAGCGCAACCCUUGCCGCAAGUUGAAUAUUCUUGCGGGACUUCCUAAAUUUAUUUUAGGAGGAAGUGAGGACGACGUCAGGUCAGCAUGGCCCUUAUAGCUGGGGCAACACACAUACUACAAUGGAGCCGACAGAGGGUUG